GGCUUGAACAGCGAAGAAGAACUGGGAUGAUGCUACAUUGCUCUCCAACAGAUGAUGAGCAGGCUCCCCACUUGCCCUGCAGCCAUCCCCAGGGCUCCGUUCAGCCAGGAUCCCUCGCUCCAGGGAACACGCAGAGCUCUCCUCCCCUCAGCGCCCUUCGUGCCGCAGCCCGGGCACGGCGCGUUGCGGCGGGGCGGGGCGGCGGAGGAGGGAGGCCGGUGCUGCCCCGUGGCGGCGGCCGUUGCCGGGUAACCGGGGCCUCCUCGGCCGCAGGUGGGAGCCGGUCGGGGCCUGUGGCGCCCGGUUUCUGUUGCUGGGAGCCUCUCUUCGUGCCCCGGUCCCUCGCAGAGAGCAGCUGGUGGCGGCCCACGGCUCCUGAGUGUUUGUGGAGCCGUGGGCGCCGCGUUAGCGGGCGGUUGCCUGUCCUGAGCGAUCCCACCUGCCCGUGUGGGCUGCUCGUGCACCCAGCCUGCACCGUCCUCGUGGAAAACUCUCCGUUGUUUCACCACGUGAAUGCUGCUGUUCAUCUCAGAGUUUUCCAUCCCGAUCAAAAUUUUCUGAUUCUUCUGUAUCAGUCUUUCACACGCACAUGUUUCCCUCUGGAAACUCUUCAGCUCUGCAAGGCUCUAUUGCUGCUCUACAACUGCUUGAAAGGAGAGACUGUGGCCAGAUGGGGGGCUCUUCUCCCAGGUUAUGGAGGAAUCAAACAAGAAAUUGCACUGUGGACAAAUGCGUCAUUGAAGAUAAAUAGAAAUGAAUGA
rnacentral:lncRNA from 1 species